rnacentral:rRNA from 1 species
CCUACGGGUGGCAGCAGUGGGGAAUAUUGGACAAUGGGGGGAACCCUGAUCCAGCGACGCCGCGUGAGUGAAGAAGUAUUUCGGUAUGUAAAGCUCUAUCAGCAGGGAAGAAAAUGACGGUACCUGACUAAGCAGCCCCGGCUAACUACGUGCCAGCAGCCGCGGUAAUACGUAGGGGGCACGCUGUAUCCGGAUUUACUGGGUGUAAAGGUAGCGUAGACGGUGCAGCAAGUCUGAUGUGAAAGGUCGGGGCCCAACCCCGGGACGGCAUUGGACACUGUUGUACUGGAGUACAGGAGAGGUAAGUGGAAUUCCUAGUGUAGCGAUGAAAGGCGUAGAUAUUAGGAGGAACACCAGUGGCGAAGGCGGCUUACUGGACUGUAACUGACGUUGAGGCUCGAAAGCGUGGGGAGCAAACAGGAUUAGAUACCCGGGUAGUC